rnacentral:lncRNA from 1 species
CUGCUUUACUAGCUUCAGUAAAGUGCUGCUCAUGCUGCAUCAGAUGGACUUUUGUAAGAGUUCCAGUGUGGAUGCAAAAUUUUGCUGCAAAUCUGUUUUUUGUGAAUGCAGGAACUGUCCAGAUCUUUUCUUGUUACAUGAUUGCUGAAGCAUUUUCCUGGCACAGCAGUAAUGAUUGAUGAACACACUCCAGGACUUGCCUCAAACAAGAAGGGCCAUUGUGAGGGGAGCAUGGGAUGGGCACGACAAGGAGACUCCAGUGGCACUGGGAGAGAGCUUCAGGGCUGCUGGGGAAUUACUGUUGCAAAUAACUGCUGGGCCUGGCACACUGCUGUUGCUAUUAACUGAAGAAUAACAUGUCCUUACAGAGAAUGUGGUGUUUUUGUUUUUUGGGGUGCAGUGGAGAGGAUUCUUCUUCUUAAAAUAAUGCUUCAUUAAUUCAGUUUAUGGAAAGAGAAAAGACUUCGGAUUGAAGUAGAGGUCU